rnacentral:rRNA from 1 species
CAGUAGCCGCGGUAAUACAGAGGGUGCGAGCGUUAAUCGGAUUUACUGGGCGUAAAGCGUGCGUAGGCGGCUAAUUGAGUCGGAUGUGAAAUCCCCGAGCUUAACUUAGGAAUUGCAUUCGAUACUGGGAAGCUAGAGUAUGGGAGAGGAUGGUAGAAUUCCAGGUGUAGCGGUGAAAUGCGUAGAGAUCUGGAGGAAUACCGAUGGCGAAGGCAGCCAUCUGGCCUAAUACUGACGCUGAGGUACGAAAGCAUGGGGAGCAAACAGGAUUAGAUACCCGUGUAGUCCCUGUCUCUUAUAC